CAGCCGCCGCGGUAAUACGUAGGUGGCAAGCGUUGUCCGGAUUUAUUGGGCGUAAAGCGAGCGCAGGCGGUCAAUUAAGUCUGAUGUGAAAGCCCCCGGCUCAACCGGGGAGGGUCAUUGGAAACUGGUUGACUUGAGUGCAGAAGAGGAGAGUGGAAUUCCAUGUGUAGCGGUGAAAUGCGUAGAUAUAUGGAGGAACACCAGUGGCGAAAGCGACUCUCUGGUCUGUAACUGACGCUGAGGCUCGAAAGCGUGGGUAGCAAACAGGAUUAGAUACCCGUGUAGUCCCUGUCUCUUAUAC
rnacentral:rRNA from 1 species